UCAGGUGAAGCUCAGUGUUAGAGCACUUGCCUGGCAUGCAUGAGGCCCUAGGUUCCACCCAGAACCUCAA
rnacentral:tRNA from 1 species